CGAGAAGAGGUAAGUAACUUAAUACUUCAAGUGUAAUUUCUAAAUUAUUUAAUAAACUGAUUAUGUUUUGAUAUAUGUUUUGCAUUCAGUAAAAUGGGUCAGACAUGUUAAAUUUUAUUUGAAAAUCAUGUUAUAUGCUCUGAAAUCCAUGAAAUAUAAUUGGACAAUUUCUGAAAUAUAUUUAUAUAUAUAUAUAUGCAUUCUCAGCAUGGCUAUGAUCUGUUCUAUUCUAUUCUGGCCCCGCCAAUGGGGAUU
rnacentral:lncRNA from 1 species